UCAUCCAAUUGCAUCACGCUGACUCCAUACCAAAACAGGUGGACUAUUUGUGCUCGAGUUACUAACAAGUCAGGAAUUAGAACAUGGUCUAACUCAAGAGGUGAAGGCAAACUCUUCAGUAUGGAUCUUCUUGAUGAAUCUGGAGAAAUAAGAGCCACUGCUUUCAAUGAACAGUUGGACAAGUUUUAUGAUAUGAUAGAGAUAAACAAUGUUUAUUACAUUACUGGUGGAACUCUGAAGACUGCAAAUAAGCAAUACUCAAAUCUCAAUAAUGAUUAUGAGCUGACACUGAAUAAGAA